rnacentral:rRNA from 1 species
GGACUACUGGGGUUUCUAAUCCUGUUUGCUACCCACGCUUUCGUGCCUCAGCGUCAGUGAUGGUCCAGUAAGCCGUCUACACCGCAGGUGUUCCUCCUGAUAUCUACGCAUUUCACCGCUACACCAGGAAUUCCGCUUACCUCUCCCAUACUCAAGCCCUCCAGUUUUCGGCGCACCCUCCCGGUUAAGCCGGGAGAUUUCACACCAAACUUAGAGGACCGCCUACGCACUCUUUACGCCCAGUAACUCCGAACAACGCUCGCUGCCUACGUAUUACCGCGGCUGCUGGCAC